rnacentral:lncRNA from 1 species
AUACACUGAAAAAGGAAGGGAGAACUGGAUAUUGGGCAGUGUGAAUAUCAAUUACGUAUGGCAAGGAGGAGAUUGAAUGCAGACACUAAUAUUCAGAGGUCGGCUUUGAAGAUUAAAGGAGCAAACUCAUACAUUGCCAAGCCUUGCCUGGUGUAAGACCACAGGAGAUGUUGGCUGAGUGAGGUCAUAGCAAACAGUAUGCUAAAGGAAUAAAUAAAGUGUUACAAAUCCUCCUCAUACUACCAAUUACACACGUAGAUAAGUUUUUUCUCUUCUCUCUUUUUUUUUUUUUUUUUUUUUUGAGAUGGAGUCUUGUUCUGUUGCCCAGGCUGGAGUGCAGUGGCACAAUCUCCACUCACUGCAACCUCCACCUCCCGCCUCCAAGGUUCAAGCGAUUCUCUUGCCUCAACCUCCCAAGUAGCUUGGACUACAGGCACCCACCACCACGUCUGGCUAAUUUUUGUAUUUUUAGUGGAGACAAGGUUUCACCAUAUUUCCCAGGCUGGUCUUAAACUCCUGACCUCAAGUGAUCCUCCCACCUUGGCCUCCCAAAGUGCUGGGAUUAUAGGUGUGAGACACCACGCCCAGCCUAGAGAAGUUUCUCAAGGUGGGAACUGUGUUUUGUUCCUUAUAGAACCCUGCCUACACUAAGGGGUGGAAUUUUUUUUUUUUUUUAGACAGGAGCUUGCUGUGUUGCGCAGGCUGGAGUGCAGUGGCACAAUCAUAGCUCAGUGCAGCCUCAAAUGCUUGGACUCAAGUGAUCCUCUGCCUCAGCCACAGGCACACACCAACAUGCCUGGUUAAUUUUCUAUUUUUUGUAGAGAUGGGGUCUUGCUAUGUUGUGCAUGCUGGUCUCAAACUCCUGGCCUCAAGUGGUCCUCCCACCUGGGCCUCCCAAAGUUUUGGGAUUACAGUCAUGAACCACCACACCUGGCCCACAAUAAAUAUUGAUUCAAUAAUAAAAUGGGCUGGGGGGGAGUUUCUAAUGGGACUAGAAUUGACCUGUAAAAA